rnacentral:rRNA from 1 species
CAGCAGCCGCGGUAAUACGUAGGUGGCAAGCGUUGUCCGGAAUUAUUGGGCGUAAAGGGCUCGCAGGCGGUUUCUUAAGUCUGAUGUGAAAGCCCCCGGCUCAACCGGGGUGGGUCAUUGGAAACUGGGAAACUUGAGUGCAGAAGAGGAGAGUGGAAUUCCACGUGUAGCGGUGAAAUGCGUAGAGAUGUGGAGGAACACCAGUGGCGAAGGCGACUCUCUGGUCUGUAACUGACGCUGAGGAGCGAAAGCGUGGGGAGCGAACAGGAUUAGAGACCCCUGUAGUCCCUGUCUCUUAUAU